GAGGAAUAUUGGUCAAUGGGCGAGAGCCUGAACCAGCCAAGUAGCGUGCAGGAUGACGGCCCUCCGGGUUGUAAACUGCUUUUAGUUGGGAGUAAAAAAAGGGACUUGUCCCUUCUUGUAUGUACCUUCAGAAAAAGGACCGGCUAAUUCCGUGCCAGCAGCCGCGGUAAUACGGAAGGUCCAGGCGUUAUCCGGAUUUAUUGGGUUUAAAGGGAGCGUAGGCGGAUUGUUAAGUCAGCGGUUAAAGGGUGUGGCUCAACCAUGCAUUGCCGUUGAAACUGGCGAUCUUGAGUGCAGACAGGGAUGCCGGAAUUCGUGGUGUAGCGGUGAAAUGCUUAGAUAUCACGAAGAACUCCGAUCGCGAAGGCAGGUGUCCGGGCUGCAACUGACGCUGAGGCUCGAAAGUGUGGGUAUCAAACAGGAUUAGAUACCCUGGUAGUCCACACAGUAAACGAUGUAUACUCGCGGUUUGCGAUAGAUUGUAAGCCGCCAAGCGAAAGCAUUAAGUAUACCACCUGGGGAGUACGCCGGCAACGGUG
rnacentral:rRNA from 1 species